AGCACAGCUGACCUUUCAGUCAUUUUUGGUAUGUUUAUCUAUGACCAAUAUUGAUGUUUAAUUCCUAUAACACAGCACUGAAAAGUGUAAAAGGGAGAGAAAAAGGGAAAGGAAAAAAAAAAGUGGUUCUUUCUAGUUGAUUGCUUUAAAAUAAUGCUGAGCGUCCGAAUAUUUUUGGAUCUUAGUGUUCCUCCCACAUGUAUUUUGCAAGUUGAAUAAAU